UACGAGGGGUCCUAGCGUUGUUCGGAAUCAUUGGGCGUAAAGAGUCUGUAGGCGGCUAGAUAAGUCAGGUGUGAAAUCCCCGGGCUCAACCCGGGACGUGCAUUUGAUACUGUCUAGCUUGAGUAUGGUAGAGGCUAGUGGAAUUCUUGGUGUAGUGGUGAAAUACGUAGAUAUCAGGAGGAACACCGGUGGCGAAGGCGGCUAGCUGGACCUAUACUGACGCUGAGAGACGAAAGCAUGGGGAUCAAACAGG
rnacentral:rRNA from 1 species